rnacentral:lncRNA from 1 species
UCUCCUCGCAAAUAACCGAGCACAACGUCGCCGUCGUUGUGUCGAUCCCGCGGCCACGUGCCUCCCCGUUCCGAACCAUCGCGUCCAGGAGGCGCGUCGCCGUCACCUUCAUCGACUACACCAGCAAAUUGGGGCGUAGGCACUGCAUCGACGACGCACGCGUCUUCCUCCGUCACGGUCGUCGGACGACGCUGUUUGAUCCACACCAUCACGGCAACCUCCGGCCUCCCCGACCUUGCCUAUGUGCUCGCGGUGAGCACCUCCCCCGGAUCCCCCUUCUUCCCGCCUUGAUUCGAUGCCGUAGUCACCGUCCCCGAGUACGUCCAAGCUCCCGCGUACGCGUACGCUUACGUGGGUGCUUGAGCCGCUGCUGCUACUGCCUGCUCACCACUACUCCUGCUGCUCCCUGGCCGCGCCCUCCCAGCUGCCCACGCCGGCGCACAGCUGUGCUCGCCGCAACUGCAUGAUGUCGUUGCCGCCGCUACCUGCCGGCUGUUGCGUUGCCGCAUGCUGCUGCCCGCACCACGCCCUGCUAGCGCCCGAGCCGCACCGGCCCUGCGCACACGCGCGCACCAGCCCGCUUGCUCGCAGCCACAGGCUGCUGCUCCUAACCACCACCCACGCGAGCCCUUUUGGCCUUGCUACCGUGCGUUCAUGCGCGUGCAUGCCCAGCCAUGGGCAUGGCUGUGCCUCUGGCCGGCCCGUUUAAUUGGACUAGGAUUAGCAUUUGAUUGGUUUAGUGUUUGUUUAAUUUAGCUAGGGCUAAUUUAGUCUAUGCCAUGUGGGACCCUAGCUUAGUUAACUCCAUUAAUUUAAUCCAACUUAAAGUAAGUCAAUGACAUGUAGGUCCCCUGGAGAUUAAAAUAAAUAACCAAAAUAAAGUUAGCUACUGUCUGUGACAGCUGGGUCCCCCUCACACUGUUCACUUUGACCGGUCAACUCUGACUGGGUUGUUGACAGGGUCAACCGGGUUCCCUUGGCCCACAUGUCACCCUCUGUGUACACUUCUCUGUACACAGAUCUGGGUACACCUAGCAUUUACUCAUUAUUUUCGAAUUAAUAUUAAUAUCAGAAUAUUAUUAAAUCUUUGAAAUAUCAUAGGAAUUAAUCCGUAACUCGGAUGAAAAAGUUUUAUACAUGAAAGUUGCUCAGAAAAAUAUGACGAAUCCGAAUACGCUCUCUGUUCAUCCGUCACGUGCCCCUAGCAUAGUGAAUAUCGAACUUUUCCCCUCCCGUUCGUUUGUCCGAAAAUGCCUAACUCCGGGAAAACUUUCCGGAUGUUAUCACCCUUCGCCGGUAUCGUGUAGCACCGCGUUAGAACAUGUCUAGCUCUGUGUGUUGUCCUGUUAUGCUCUUACUUGCUAUGUAUUUACUGUUUCUUCCCCCCUCUUCUCUCCGGUAGACCCCGAGAUCGCUGCUGAUGUCCCUGUGAUCGACUACGUCGACGACGACCCUUCUUCCCUUUCAGCGGAGCUUCCAGGCAAGCCCCCCCUUUGAUCAUCCCGAUAUCGCCCAUUCCAUUCUCUCAUGCUUGCAUUAGAUUUUGCUACUGUUAUUGUUUGCUCCUAUUCUGAUGCAUAGCCUACUUUUGUACCUGCUAUUGUUACCUACCUGCUUAUCCUAAACUACUUAGUAUAGGUUGGUUAGAGAUCCAUCAGUGACCACCACCUUGUCCUUGUUACCCCUGCUUCAUCUUCGACGACUCGAUCAACUUGAUCGAUGACCAGAGCCUGACACCUCACAUCACAUCACGCCCCUUUAGUUGCUCGACUCUACAGAGCUACUAUCGAGUGCCGAGGGUGAUCCCUCAUAACGCACUCCUGAUGAUAAUUCUGUGGUGUAGCUAUUCGGUCGUGGUCAACAGGGGUGGUUCCUCUUUCACCAUUCCCGAUACGGCUCUUACGUUCACCUUGAUGAUUACAUUGAGUGGAAUCCACCGGGGGUGAUUCCUCGGGUUUUCCCCUUGAUGUCUGGACACACGGUUACCUUGACUUUACUUGAGACAUUGGUGAAAGUCGGGCGGGCCCGGAGAGCACCCGAGGAGUUAUGGUGGCGGCUGGCUGUUUAGCGGUAUCACCCAGGAGGGGGUGAUAGCUCCGGACUUGUCCCGACAGCUGUCACUUCUUUUAAUAAUGCACUAACAGGUUUGGGUAUUUGUUGUGAAUUGGCCUUUGGCCUUUACGCACUAACCACCACGCGAGAAUAGUUAUAGGCCUCGACGUCGUGGUAUCAGCCGAAGCUUUGUCAGACAUCCAGUUCAGUUGCGGCACGGCCUGGUCGGCGCCCCAGUGGAGGUGGCCUGUGUCGCCCUGCGCGCAACGAUCUGGAGUGCAACGGGCGAUGGGCCCAGACCCCGGAGUGCUUAGGAUGUAGACCGGCGGGGCCUCUCUGCUGAGCCUAGGUAGGGCUGUGACGUGUUGAUCUUCCAAGGCCGGGCAUUGACCCAGAAAAGUGUGUCCGGACAGAGUGAUCGAGCGUGUUGGAAAACAUGGUGCACCCCUGCAGGGAAGAUACAUAUUCGAAUACCGUGUCCACGGUAAUGGACGUUCAGACUUAUAUCUUGAUCUAAUACAACUGGAAAUGGAUACUUAAGUUAUGUGGCUCCGGGAUUGCUUUCUCGCAGGGAGUCGAGGAAGGAUCUCUCGGCAUUAUUGCUACAACAUGCUUGAUAAUUAAACUGCUAUUCUUUACUCUUCUACAUGCUGCAAGACGCUUGGAGCUGCUUGAAGAUGCUAGUCUUUAUAGGCUAGGCCUUCCCCCCCUAUUCUGGCAUUCUGCAGUUCAGUCCACGGAUACAGCCCUUCCUUUUGGUACCAAUGCAUACUUAGUAUAGAUCUGAUGCUUGUGAGUACAUUGGAUGAGUACUCACGGUUGCUUUGCUUCCCCUUUUCCCCCUUCUUUCUUCUUUCCGGUUGAUGCAACCAGAUGGUGGAUCCCUGGAGCUAGAUGCCACCACCGAUGGAUACUAGUACGUGGAGCCCGCCGAUGACCAGGAGUAGUUAGGAGGUCCCAGGCAGGAGGCCUUGCCUCUUCGAUCGUUGAUAUUUGUGCUAGCCUUCUUAAGGAAUCCUUUUUUAACUAAUGUCUGUACUCAGAUAUUGUUGCUUCCGCUGACGCUUGUGUUUCGAGCUUCUGUAUUCGAGCCCUCGAGGCCCCUGGCUUGUAAUGUGAAGCUUGU